rnacentral:rRNA from 1 species
UACGUAGGGACCAAGCGUUUGUUCGGAUUUACUGGGCGUAAAGGGCGCGUAGGCGGCGUGACAAGUCACUUGUGAAAUCUCCGGGCUUAACUCGGAACGGUCAAGUGAUACUGUUGUGCGUAGAGUACAGAAGGGGCAAUCGGAAUUCUUGGUGUAGCGGUGAAAUGCGUAGAUAUCAGGAAGAACACCCGUGGCUAAGGCGGCUCUCUAGUACGGUACUGGACGCUGAGACGCGAAAGCGUGGGGAGCGAACAGG